GUUAUUUUUAAAGUUUUUUGUUGUUUUUUUUUUAAACUGUACAGGCCAAACAAAACGUUUAUGUAGGUUGAAUUCAGCCUAUGGACUCCCAGUUUGCAGCCCCUAUUUCAAAGAGGAUUUUUUUUAGGGAGUAACAGUCUGGAGGAAAGUAUAAAAAGGUAAUAUUCCUUAAUCUUUAGAUGCAUAGAUAAUUUAAGAUUGCCUGUCAUUAUAUUUUUCCUCGUUAACAAUGAAGCUGAUUAUCUUUUUGCAGUGUUUUGAAAAGUGAAAUCAUGAAACUUGGAGAAACAGAGGUAACCUUUUGAGAUUGGCCUGGGCCCAAAACACUCAGGACCCUCGGAUUGCAGUGGGUUCCCAGUCCCCACUAGAAAAGAAGAUUAAGAGUUUAGGUGAUGUCCAUUCUUCAAAAGUGAGGAAGUUUUUGCUCCAAAAGUCUCAGCAGGAGAAUGAAACACUCCAUCAGCUCAAAGCAGUGUCUUUUGACUUCCGGUUUGCCAAAGCAGAGGCAUACU
rnacentral:lncRNA from 1 species